AUUAUUAGAGUUUUCCUCAACGUGACUAAUUGACUAGGAAAUUGAUUCUCACCAAAUUGAAAGUUAAUAAUCUCACUAGGAAACUUUUUGGCACCA